rnacentral:rRNA from 1 species
GACGAACGCUGGCAGCGUGCUUAACACAUGCAAGUCGAACGGAAAAGCCCUGCUUUUGUGGGGUGCUCGAGUGGCGAACGGGUGAGUAACACGUGAGUAACCUGCCCUUGACUUUGGGAUAACUUCAGGAAACUGGGGCUAAUACCGGAUAGGAGCUCCUGCUGCAUGGUGGGGGUUGGAAAGUUUCGGCGGUUGGGGAUGGACUCGCGGCUUAUCAGCUUGUUGGUGGGGUAGUGGCUUACCAAGGCUUUGACGGGUAGCCGGCCUGAGAGGGUGACCGGCCACAUUGGGACUGAGAUACGGCCCAGACUCCUACGGGAGGCAGCAGUGGGGAAUAUUGCACAAUGGGCGGAAGCCUGAUGCAGCAACGCCGCGUGCGGGAUGACGGCCUUCGGGUUGUAAACCGCUUUCGCCUGUGACGAAGCGUGAGUGACGGUAAUGGGUAAAGAAGCACCGGCUAACUACGUG